rnacentral:rRNA from 1 species
UGGGGAAUUUUGGACAAUGGGGGCAACCCUGAUCCAGCCAUGCCGCGUGAGUGAAGAAGGCCUUCGGGUUGUAAAGCUCUUUCAGCCGGGAAGAAAACGCAUGGGUUAAUACCCUGUGUGGAUGACGGUACCGGAAUAAGAAGCACCGGCUAACUACGUGCCAGCAGCCGCGGUAAUACGUAGGGUGCGAGCGUUAAUCGGAGUUACUGGGCGUAAAGCGUGCGCAGGCGGUUUUGUAAGACAGGCGUGAAAUCCCCGGGCUCAACCCGGGAACUGCGGUUGUGACUGCAAGGCUAGAGUAUGGCAGAGGGGGGUGCAAUUCCACGUGUAGCAGUGAAAUGCGUAGAGAUGUGGAGGAACACCGAUGGCGAAGGCAGCCCCCUGGGCCAAUACUGACGCUCAUGCACGAAAGCAUGGGGAGCAAACA